rnacentral:rRNA from 1 species
UAGGGAAUCUUCGGCAAUGGACGGAAGUCUGACCGAGCAACGCCGCGUGAGUGAAGAAGGGUUUCGGAUCGUAAAGCUCUGUUGUUAGAGAAGAACGUUGGUAGGAGUGGAAAAUCUACCAAGUGACGGUAACUAACCAGAAAGGGACGGCUAACUACGUGCCAGCAGCCGCGGUAAUACGUAGGUCCCGAGCGUUGUCCGGAUGUAUUGGGCGUAAAGCGAGCGCAGGCGGUUCUUUAUGUCUGAAGUUAAAGGCAGUGGCUUAACCAUUGUACGCUUUGGAAACUGGAGGACUUGAUUGCAGAAGGGGAGAGUGGAAUUCCAUGUUUACCGUUGAAAUGCGUGGAUAUAUGAAGAAACCCCGGUGGCGAAACCGGCUCUCUGGUCUGUACCUGCCGCUGAGGCUCGAAGGCGUGGGAAGCAAACAGA